GUUUUGAAACGCAAGGACAUGAGGUUUGGAGGGGUCAGGGCAGAAUGAUAUGGUUUGGCUGUGUCCCCAUUCAAAUCUCAACUUGAAUUUUAUCUCCCAGAAUUCCCACAUGUUGUGGAAGGGACCCAGUGGGAGGUCAAAUGAAUCAUGGGGGCUGGUCUUUCCCGUGCUAGUCUCAUGAUAGUAAGUCUCAUGAGAUUCAGUGGGUUUAUUAGGGAUUUCUGCUUUUGCUUCCUCAUUUUCUCUUGCCACCACCAUGUACAAAGAACCUUUCACCUCCCGCCAAGAUUCUGAGGCCUCACAAGGUUUUGUUUAUGUGAAGAAUGGAGAUGAUCCAAGUGAUGUCUGCUAGAAGGAAAGUGUAUUAGGCACACUGAAAUGAAACACAACAUAAGGAAAUAAGAAGAACUCUUCAUGAGGAUGUUUUCAUCAAAGACUAUUACGUUUGAUUUUGUAAAUUCUUCUACAGGGAUGUCUGGCUUCCCAGGUUAUAAGUGAAUAUUUGCAUUUGCCUCAUCCCUACUCUCAUCCAACAUUUAUGCACUGAUAAGAUCUUGGCAUCAGACAAGAAGCAUCUUAUUUGUGACAAUUUCACUGCAGUGGCCUGCUUUAUUACAUAAGUAAUCACAGUGCAGAAGCCAGAAAAAAAGCAUGGUUCCUAGGAAUUCAUCAGUUUCCUUUGUUGAAUAAAUUGUCAUACUGGAUCCUUCUUCUGAUGGUCUUCAGGUUCACACUUACAUCCUACCCUUUAAUUAAUGUGUCAGCCUUGCUGUAUAGUCACUUCACCUUAAAACGUGGUGGACACGUGAUGGUAACACUCAGUUCUCCACUUUAACAUGCAGAACCAAACUAAAUGUCUUCUGUGAUCUGUCAGAACCUAUGUAGAACUUAGGUACUUUCUCGACCUUCUCUCUGCCAACAUCUAUUUACUUGGCACUUUUACUCUAAUAUGGCCAACCAUGUUGUUGCAGUGUGUUCUUUCAGGCUGACUCUUCCAAAAAUACCAGAGGAAAAGACAGAUGCAGUUCCUAUGUCCCCUUAAAUUACCUUAUUUGGGGAUUGUAUAAUAUAGCUCACUGUCUAUAAGCCUUAUUUCCCAUCAUUUUAUAGCCAAUAAAAAAUUUUUCUAAUCUCUUUUGUGUAGUAAGAAAAUAGAUCUAUGUCAUCAUUCCUUUCCCACUUUAUAACUUAUGGUUAACCUCUGCACUCUGUUUCAAAAGCCAAUAUUGAUCAAAGUAAUGCUUUUGAAGUUAAGAUGACAACAACAACAAUGCAAAAAUCAACAGUCCAGUUUUUGCAUUUGAAAGAAAUAGUUUCUAAAACUCUUGAAAAUCUAAACUACAUUUUUAGGUUUUAUUUUCACUGAGUUCUUUUGUGUUUUAUAUUUCAAUUUUACAGUUAACUGAAAAAUAAUCAUCACUUUAAUUCAUAUUAAACCAUCAUUUACUCACACUAAUUUACAUUAAAUAAAUUGUUCUAAAAUGGAAUAAUAUACUGACUAUUAUCUAAACAAAUUUAACUGUUCUAAAAUGGAAUAAUAUACUGACUAUUAUCUAAACAAAUUUCUGGGAACCCAUUAUUUGUUAUGCACUAUGCUUGGAUACAAAGAUUUAGGGAAUAAACAAUACACAGUAUGAGCUUUUCAAAGCUUACUUUUCCAGGUAGAGACAUAAGCAUAGACAAAAGUAUAAUGCAUAAUGGAAAUAUUAUUAUAUAAUCAUGGCAGCAAGUCAGAGUAUCUAAAUUAGUUUAUUAAAAGUUGAUAUGCUCUAUGAAAGACAUCAACUUGGUCUAGACAUAUCUGAAAAAGAUUAAAGCAGGCAUUUUAAACAAAUACUAUUAACUGAAUUGUACUCAUAAAAGCAGAAAAGACCAAAUAAAUUAUAAGAAUGAACUAAAAUACUUCCUCAACGUAUUAUACAGUAAAAAUAAACUCUCUGGGAAAGAGAAAAUAGGCAAAAAUUGUAGAAUUCAACAGCAGGAUAACUGAGCCCAGAAGAUUCAUAUUAAUUGUAAGCGUAUUGUAUAGAAACAGAGACAAAACAAUUUUUGUAAUUAUUAGUCCAUGAUUACAAAGAAAGGUUUUUAUAGCUUUUCCAAACCAAGUAAAUGAAAACCAAUUGCUUGAUUGCCUACUAUGAAUGAAUACAUUGAGUAUUAUACUCAUUACCUCUCCGUAAUUUUAGAGUGGAAAUAAAGAAUACUGUGAGAAAUUUCAUGGUUGUAAAGAUGUCCAAACUAUAAAUUGGACAUAAUAAUAUUAAGACAGAAAUUCAGGGGUUUUUUUUGUCUGUUUGCAUUUUCAAGUUUAAAUCAUUCUGAUUAAACAGAGAAAAUCUCAUUUUAUCCUAGUAUAUAUUUUUAUUCCGCAGGAUGCUUUUAUUAAUCAAUAAACUUUAGAGCAUUUUUAGGUUCACAGUAAAAUUAAUUACAGAGUUUAGAGAGUUCCUUUAUGUCCCCUGUCCUCACACAUGUACAACCUUCUGUAUUGUCAACAUCCCAAAACACAAUGGUACAUAUGUUACAAUUGAUGAGCCUAUACUGACAAAUCAUUAUGUCCAAAGAUCAUUAUUUACAUUACAGUUCACUUUUAGUAUUGUACAUUCUGUGGCUUUUGAAAAAUAUAUAAUGACACAUAGUUACCACUUUAGUAACAUAUAGAAUAGUUCUAUUCCCCUAAAAUCCUUUGUGCUCUGCCUAUUUAUCUCUCUCUCCCCACUAAUCCAUGGAAAUCACUUCCCUUUUUUUUUUAAACAAUUUUGGGGGGUUUUUGCUUUUUUAAUUUUCAAAAAUGUUUCAUUGACUCAUAAUGUACAUAUUUAUGGGGUCAAUGGCGAUGUUGAAAUAAAUGUAAUGUCUAGUGAUCAGAUCAGAAUAAUUAGCAUAUCCAUCAAAUAUUUACCAUUUCUUUAUGUUGGGAGCAUUCAAUAUCCUCCUUCUAGCUAUUUGAAACUAUGUAUUAUUGUUAACUAUAGUCAUCCUACAGAGCUACAGGACACUAACCUAUUCCUCCUAUCUAGCUGUAACAAAUAUCUUGUGUAUCCUUUAACAAAUCUCUCCCAAUGCUCCCCUCUCCCCGGCCCUUCCCAAUCUCUAGUAUCCUCUGUUCUACUUUUUACUUCUAUGAGAUAAAGUGUUUUGUUGUUGUUGUUUGUAUGUGUUUUUGCUUCCACAUAUGAAUGUGAAUGAGAACAGGUGGUGUUUAACUUUCUGUUCCAGGCUUAUUUCUUCAUAAUGUCUUCAGUUCCAUUCGUGUAACAGAGAAUGAUUAUUUCACCUUUUUUUUUUGUAGCUGACUAGUAUUCUAUGGUGUAAUACACAACAUUUUCCUUAUUCAUUCAUCCAUUGUUGGACACCUUGGUUGUCUAAUAAUGAACAUAAAUGGGUUGUUGUGAAUAAUACCAUAAUAAACAUAGAGCUGUAGAUGUCUUUUGGAUGUACUGAUUACUUUCCUUUGAAUAAAUACCCAGUAGUGGCAUUGCUAGAUCAAAUGGUAACACUGUUUAUAGUUUUUCUGAGGAAUUUUCAUGCUAUUCUCCGUAGUGGCUGUAGUAGUUUACAUUCCCAUCAACAGUGUAUGAGAGUUUCCUUCUCUCCAC
rnacentral:lncRNA from 10 species